CUCCAAAGUUACUUGAGUAAUGCUGCCCUGAGCCACCUUCCCUACAGCUGGGUUUGUGCACUGAGCACCCAUAGCUGAAAGCAGGACUUCCAAGAAAGGCCAGCUGCCAAAAGCUCCUGCACAGACUCAGUGGCCAGACCUCUGGAAGGAAAUGGGAAAUGGAAGCCAUGUAUUUUGAGCUGUAAAUGCCAUGUGAGCUUUUUAAGGGAAUCUACCCGCUCUGUUCCCCUUCCAUACAAAGCGGCAUGUGAGGAUUUGAAACACUGGGAAUGCCAGUGCUGAACCUGUCAGAUGAGGCUGCAGAAGUCCCACCCGACCCAGCAGCCAGCCUAGAGUCCAAGCCCUGAAGACCUUGCUUUCCCCAUGUUGUCAGUGUGCUGUAGGACUUGAUGGGCUGAAAACACAGCGGUUGCCAUGAGGGUGGGCCUAUUCCAGAAGCUGGGCACAUGGGAAACGUCACCUGUCAAACAACUGCCUGGAAUGAGAUGUGAGUGAAAUCAGAAUCAGGCCUACUACAUGCAGUUCAUAAUAAAUAAUGCUGUCUCAGUAA